GUCUGGGUCUGAUCCAAAGCUUGUUAAAGUCAAAGGAAAGAUUUCCAUUGAUUUUAAGGAGCUUUGGAUCAGAUCCUAUCGAC
rnacentral:pre_miRNA from 1 species